GCCCGGAUGGUGAAAUUGGUAGACACAAGGGAUUUAAAAUCCCUCGGCGUUCGCGCUGUGCGGGUUCAAGUCCCGCUCCGGGCA
rnacentral:tRNA from 1 species